rnacentral:tRNA from 1 species
GUCGUUGUAGUAUAGUGGUGAGUAUCCCCGCCUGUCACGCGGGAGACCCGGGUUCGAUCCCCGGCAACGUUU